GCGGCAUGUGGUGUAACGGUUAGCACGCGGCCCUGUGAAGGCUGAGGAGAUGGGGUUCGACUCCCCCCGCGCCGCC
rnacentral:tRNA from 1 species